CGAAAGUGCCCUAGGGGUCCAUGAGCGGUGUGGGCAGAGCUGGUGUGGACUUCCACUUGCAGGUAAACUUCGUUCUUGUUUUCAGAUUUGCUUGUCUAUGAAACUGCUCUUUCAGAUCUCAUCUACUGAGAGCCAUACUUUGAGAAUUGCUGCUUCAGGAAAAAAUAACUGGGAGGAAGGAGUAAAAAUACACUUAACAUGUCCAAGCUUUCCUCCAUUAUACCUUCUUCUGCCUGAAAAGAUGUAAAACCCAUCCUGGCCCCCACUGUAGCUCUGUGAGAAGAACAAGGGAGAGGAAGUCUACAAAAAGCAGCCUUACAGUGAAGGCUGGGAAACCAGCAAGACACUGGUCCAUGAAGAAAAGAAGCAGAGAACAGGCAGUAAAGAGAGUGUUUGUGAGACUGGCAUUCAGGGAAAGGGCUUGAGUAUCCCUGGAGGAACUUAGGAUUAAGAGGAACCAAGAAGAAAUUCAUUCUGGGAUGCCUCUUGUACUUAGAGAAGACUUGUUCGCUGCAAGAAACGGCCCUACAAACAUCCCUAUGGUGUGAGUUUGCCACUGAGUUGCUGAGAUGUGGUUAUUCCCUGGAAAAGCUGAAAUGGAUGUCCACAGUCUCACGAUAGUACUGAAGCCUUUUGUAUGAUCCUAGCAUAGUACCUCAGUGGAAGAACUGGCAUCGUUAGGUGCCCUGAAUUGGCAACACCUUUUACCUUGAUCGUCAUGCUGCAGUAGCCCCAUUCUUAGUGCGUGUAGAGAUGGUGAAAGGACGGUUAUCACCUGAGGCUAGAGUCAGGCUUGGGGAAUCUCCAGUGGAUCCUACUAUCAUUUCCAGGAUUGAUUUCACAGGACCCCAACAUUCCAGAAGAGAUUGACUGGCCUUCCCAAUAAUACCCAUAGAAAUGGACAUGUGAGCUUUAGAAGAAACUCUUCUGUCCUCAAAUUUAAGUCUUGAAGAACAUUGUACAUAGUGAUAUCCAUGUUGGGGGAAGAUAUUUCUGAGGUUGAAGAUGUACAAGAGGAAACCGGCAGGGGCCUGAGGCCAGGGGCCAGGCAGGAUGGUGCCUAGAGGAAACGGCCAGGGCGUGAUCGGACUUGUCUGGUGCCUAGAGGAAACAGCUGGAACAUGGCCAGACUUGUUUUGAUGAAUCACUGAUUGGCUCCUGUCAUUUCCGUGCAUCCUGGCAGCGGUGAUCACCCCGCGAACACAAUGCUGUGCUAUGGAGAGGAGACUGCAUGCUCAAGUUCACCUUUAAAAUGAUUGGACGCUUGGUUGAGGAGGGGAUUUUCCUUUGUGAUUUUUGCCUUUAUAAGCUCUGUAAACACCUGCAAUAACCGAGUUCCUGCUUGACUGGCUCCCUGUGGCGUCUGAUUGUCUUCCAGGGAGGCUGUGGGUAACAGGCGGACAGCGCACUUCCCUUUCCCCAGCUCCUGUGUUGGGGCAGGAUCCCCGACAUCUGGCACCCAACGUGGGGCCUGAAGACCACUCGGACCCACUACGGGAGCUGAUCGCAGGGGCUAAUCGGGAAAUGGCCGGAACACAGCCAGACUUGUUUUGAUGAAUCGUUGAUUGGCUCCUGUCAUUUCCGUGCAUCCUGGCAGCAGUGAUCACCCCGCAAACACAAUGCUGUGCUAUGGAGAGGAGACUGCAUGCUCAAGUUCACCUUUAACAUGAUUGGACACUUGGUUGGGGAGGGGAUUUUCCUUUGUGGUUUUUACCUUUAUAAGCUCUGUAAACACCUG